rnacentral:rRNA from 1 species
UACAGAGGUCCCGAGCGUUGUUCGGAUUCAUUGGGCGUAAAGGGUGCGUAGGUGGCGCUGUAAGUGGGGUGUGAAAUCCCGGGGCUUAACCCCGGCACUGCAUUCCAUACUGCGGUGCUUGAGGACUGGAGAGGAGACUGGAAUUUACGGUGUAGCAGUGAAAUGCGUAGAGAUCGUAAGGAAGACCAGUGGCGAAGGCGGGUCUCUGGACAGUUCCUGACACUGAGGCACGAAGGCCAGGGGAGCAAACGGG